rnacentral:lncRNA from 1 species
AUUCAUCUCAAACAAUCAAAAUCCUCACAUACAAAUGCCAUCAAAAGGACUUUUCCACGACUUGUAAUGAGGCUGGGCUAACAACAAAAAUUUGUUUUUCCGAAAUGCAAAAUCCUUGAGUUAAGAGAGCUACCAUAGUAUUCAACAUUUAAGCACAACUCUCUUCCUCACCAAUCUCACUUAUUUCCCAACUUCUGCCCUUUUCUUUUGCAUUGAGCUCACUUUCAUGCUUUUCUUUUCUUUUUCUCAGGCAUUUUUCUUUCUCAACAUUUGAGCUCAAUGCUUUACAAUUGCUUUUCAAUUUCCCCCGCAC